CAGUAGCCGCGGGAAUACGAAGGGGGCUAGCGUUGCUCGGAAUUACUGGGCGUAAAGGGAGCGUAGGCGGAUCGUUUAGUCAGGGGUGAAAUCCCGGGGCUCAACCUCGGAACUGCCUUUGAUACUGGCGAUCUUGAGUAUGGGAGAGGUGUGUGGAACUCCGAGUGUAGAGGUGAGAUUCGUAGAUAUUCGGAAGAACACCAGUGGCGAAGGCGACACACUGGCCCAUUACUGACGCUGAGGCUCGAAAGCGUGGGGAGCAAACAGGAUUAGAUACCCCUGUAGUCCCUGUCUCUUAUAC
rnacentral:rRNA from 1 species